rnacentral:snoRNA from 1 species
GCAUGGCUGAAUUCUGUUCCAGCCAGUCGGUGCUGGAUACAGUCAGACACCAUGCAAAAUCAUCAUCUCACUUCUACUAUAUGAUUGGCUGAGUGCUCUGAUCCUCAUCCAGCUGCAUAGAAAUGAGUACAUUA